rnacentral:rRNA from 1 species
UGAACGCUGGCGGUAGGCCUAACACAUGCAAGUCGAACGGCAGCACAGUAAGAGCUUGCUCUUACGGGUGGCGAGUGGCGGACGAGUGAGGAAUACAUCGGAAUCUACUUUUUCGUGGGGGAUAACGUAGGGAAACUUACGCUAAUACCGCAUACGACCUACGGGUGAAAGCAGGGGAUCUUCGGACCUUGCGCGAUUGAAUGAGCCGAUGUCGGAUUAGCUAGUUGGCGGGGUAAAGGCCCACCAAGGCGACGAUCCGUAGCUGGUCUGAGAGGAUGAUCAGCCACACUGGAACUGAGACACGGUCCAGACUCCUACGGGAGGCAGCAGUGGGGAAUAUUGGACAAUGGGCGCAAGCCUGAUCCAGCCAUACCGCGUGGGUGAAGAAGGCCUUCGGGUUGUAAAGCCCUUUUGUUGGGAAAGAAAAGCAGCAGGUUAAUACCCCGCUGUUCUGACGGUACCCAAAGAAUAAGCACCGGCUAACUUCGUG